GCAUGUCUUUGGACAAAUAAGGAGGGAAUCAUGGGUAUUCCUAAGUCUGUGGCACCAUUGAUCAUCUCAUACAUUCACGGUCCAGGUCACAUAGGCCGUAAGCCCAUCUUAAAACAGUACAGAGACCAUUUUCAAACAGAAGGACUCAUAAAAAUAAUACAAGACUUUGUAAGCUCAUGCGUUACAUGCGCACAAAAUAAUGUACAGGGAAAGGCAAUGGGAAGACACGGAAAUUUGCCCCCUCCAUUAGGACCUCUUACAGACUUACAAAUAGACUUUACGCAUAUGCCAAAACAAAAAGGAAAUGUAAAAUAUCUUUUGGUAAUUGUGGAUAAAUUUUCCGGGUGGGUAGAAGCAGUGCCCACUACUGGGGAAACUGCAGGAAUAGCGGUACGAGCUAUUAUAAAUAAUUGGGUGAGUCGAUUCGGACUCCCAGUGAAUAUCUGGUCUGACCAGGGACCAGCUUUUGCCUCUAGACUCACACAGGAAUUCUCUAGGAUUUUGGGGAUACAAUGGAAAUUGCACAUCCCUUAUCACCCUCAGAGUGCGGGAAUUGUCGAACGGAUGAAUAGAAAUAUUAAGGAUAAACUGAAUAAAGCUACUCAAGGUACUAUGAAAAAUUGGUCCUUAUAUCUCCCAGGUGUACUUUACCAGAUAAGGGUCACUCCUAAUUCUAGAGGGUAUUCCCCUUUUGAGGUACUCAUGGGACACCCUCCAGCUGAGAAUAGUGUAGGAAAGGAUAAUGAUUUGUUUUCUCAACAGGAAACUUGGAUGAAACAUCUGGUAAGUACUAUUCAACAUACCCAAGAAGGAGUUGCUGUCACCUUUUCUCCUCUUUCCACAGAUCCAACUCACCCUUUUAUACCUGGAGAUGAGGUAUUGGUUAAGCAGUUGGCCGUAAGAAGAAAGACGGGCCCCAUUUACCAAGGCCCAUAUACGGUGGAAAAGGUCUCCCGGACAGCCGUAAAGGUUGAAGGCCUAGGACCAUGGAUUCAUGCGAGCAGAUUGAAAAAGGGUCCCUUGAAGAUAAAGACCCCAGAAGCCCCGAUGGCUCCCCCCUUGGAGCG